rnacentral:rRNA from 1 species
GACGAACGCUGGCGGCGUGCUUAACACAUGCAAGUCGAACGGUAAGGCUCCAGCUUGCUGGGGUACACGAGUGGCGAACGGGCGAGUAACACGUGGGUGACCUGCCCUGCACUUCGGGAUAAGCCUGGGAAACUGGGUCUAAUACCGGAUAGGACCGCACCGUGAGGGUGUGGUGGAAAGUUUUUUCGGUGUGGGAUGGGCCCGCGGCCUAUCAGCUUGUUGGUGGGGUAAUGGCCUACCAAGGCGGCGACGGGUAGCCGGCCUGAGAGGGUGGACGGCCACAUUGGGACUGAGACACGGCCCAGACUCCUACGGGAGGCAGCAGUGGGGAAUAUUGCACAAUGGGCGGAAGCCUGAUGCAGCGACGCCGCGUGGGGGAUGACGGCCUUCGGGUUGUAAACUCCUUUCACCAUCGACGAAGGGUUUCUGACAGUAGAUGGAGAAGAAGCACCGGCUAACUACGUGCCAGCAGCCGCGGUAAUACGUAGGGUGCGAGCGUUGUCCGGAAUUACUGGGCGUAAAGAGCUCGUAGGUGGUUUGUCGCGUCGUCUGUGAAAUUCCGGGGCUUAACUCCGGGCGUGCAGGCGAUACGGGCAUAACUUGAGUACUGUAGGGGAGACUGGAAUUCCUGGUGUAGCGGUGAAAUGCGCAGAUAUCAGGAGGAACACCGGUGGCGAAGGCGGGUCUCUGGGCAGUAACUGACGCUGAGGAGCGAAAGCAUGGGGAGCGAACAGG